rnacentral:rRNA from 1 species
UACAGAGGGGGCAAGCGUUGUUCGGAAUUACUGGGCGUAAAGGGCGCGUAGGCGGCCUUCUAAGUCGAACGUGAAAUCCCCGGGCUCAACCCGGGAACUGCGUCCGAUACUGGAAGGCUUGAAUCCGGGAGAGGGUCGUGGAAUUCCCGGUGUAGCGGUGAAAUGCGUAGAGAUCGGGAGGAACACCAGAGGCGAAGGCGGCGACCUGGACAGAUACUGACACUCAACUACGAAAGCGUGGGGAGCAAACAGG